ACUCCUACGGGAGGCAGCAGUGGGGAAUAUUGCACAAUGGGCGCAAGCCUGAUGCAGCCAUGCCGCGUGUAUGAAGAAGGCCUUCGGGUUGUAAAGUACUUUCAGCAGUGAGGAAGGUGGGUAUGUUAAUAGCAUAUUCAUUUGAUCGUUAUGCUGCAGAAGAAGCACCGGCUAACUCCGUGCCAGCAGCCGCGGUAAUACGGAGGGUGCAAGCGUUAAUCGGAAUUACUGGGCGUAAAGCGUGCGCAGGCGGUUCUGAUUAAGCGAGAUGUGAAAGCCCCGGGCUCAACCUGGAGCUGCAUUUACGAACUGGCAGACUAGAGUCUUGUAGAGGGGGGUAGAAUUCCAGGUGUAGCGGUGAAAUGCGUAGAGAUCUGGAGGAAUACCGGUGGCGAAGGCGGCCCCCUGGACAAAGACUGACGCUCAGGCACGAAAGCGUGGGGAGCAAACGAGGAUUAGAUGAUCCCUGGUAG
rnacentral:rRNA from 1 species